rnacentral:piRNA from 1 species
UCACGAGAGAUGCCUGCAGC